CUUAGAGAAGCUGAAACACCAAUGAUCGAAGGAUUUAGAUGAGAAUCCAACAAACGCCACAACGAAUAGUUGAUAAGUUAGCCAAGAUUCCUGGUGCAAUUGAUGAAAGCAAAUCCUCACUCUCACUCAAAGCAAUACACGCUAAAGGCAUGAGAAGAAUUCUGAAAUUUUGAUUAAAAGCUGCCUCUUACAAUUGUUUCUUAUCCUUAUAUAGUAAGGAGAAAAACAAAUAAAACCCUAAGACACUCUUCUUGGACUUGACUUAA
rnacentral:lncRNA from 1 species